CUCCCUCCUCGCUCAUGAAAACACGUGCUUUCAUUAUCAACCUCUCCGAAACUCUCAAAUUCUUCAUCGAGUUCCCCUUCAUUGGAUACAAACGAGAGCGACACUCGCCUAAUAGAUCCGUACAACAUGUCCCCAUCAAGAGGAACCGUGUUCCUUAUCAAGAGGUGACGAAACUCUUCCUCCAGCCUCGACAUAGCAACCUGGACAGCGUUCUCGGCCCGGUCAAUGAUCUCGUUAUUAGACCGGAUAGACAAAUCAUCCAACAAGUCGAGAAUUUCGUCUACAGCAGUCAGAUAUUCAGCAGCCUCAUUGGGUGCUUCAUCCCAUGAUGGGGCAGAGUGGCGGGAGGAAUCCCAACGGAAAAUGACUUUCUCGGCGACAUCCAAUCGGGACUGCGGAUUAGAUUCGUCUUUGAUCAAAUCGGUUAUAUUGGAUAAGCGGUUGUCAAAGCUGGCGAAGAACAUAAGCAUACCUUGGGCGUGUUGAGGCUAUUGACGAUCUGUUGCGCAGUGGCCAAGACCCGAUCGUCGGCGCCGGCGCCGACACUGGGGGUUGUAGUGGUGGCCAUUUCCUGUUGGUUAGCAAUUUUUAGGGUUUGUGUGAGAAAAUGGGAUUUGGGAGGGAAAAUUGGGGAUUGGGAUUGGAGUGGAUUAGAGAUUCAGUGGUGGUGACGGUGGCGUUAUGAGCAUUUCCCUCCCAAAAGAAAGAAAGAAAAAUAAUAAUAAUAAUAAUAAUAAUAAUAAUAAUAAGAAUAAUUUUGAGGGAUUGUUCAAAGACAAGAGAAGUUAAAGAAGUGUUAAUUGUGUGAAAUGAAG
rnacentral:misc_RNA from 1 species